rnacentral:rRNA from 1 species
UACGAGGGGGGCAAGCGUUGUCCGGAAUCACUGGGCGUAAAGGGCGCGUAGGCGGUCUCUUAAGCGUGUGGUGAAAGCCCGGGGCUCAACUCCGGGUCGGCCGUGCGAACUGGGGGACUGGAGCUUGUCAGAGGCAGGCGGAAUUCCGGGUGUAGCGGUGGAAUGCGUAGAGAUCCGGAAGAACACCGGUGGCGAAGGCGGCCUGCUGGGACAGUGCUGACGCUGAGGCGCGACAGCGUGGGGAGCAAACAGG